GACGAACGCUGGCGGCGUGCUUAACACAUGCAAGUCGAACGAUGAAGCCGGAGCUUGCUCUGGUGAAUUAGUGGCGAACGGGUGAGUAACACGUGAGUAACCUGCCCUUGACUCUGGCAUAACUGCUAGAAAUGGUAGCUAAUACCGGAUACGACCCUCGGAGGCAUCUCCAGGGGGUGGAAAGAAUUUCGGUCAAGGAUGGACUCGCGGCCUAUCAGCUAGUUGGUGAGGUAACGGCUCACCAAGGCGACGACGGGUAGCCGGCCUGAGAGGGUGACCGGCCACACUGGGAUGGAGACACGGCCCAGACUGCUACGGGAGGCAGCAGUGGGGAAUAUUGCACAAUGGGCGCAAGCCUGAAGCAGCAAAGCCGCGUGAGGGAUGACGGCCUGCGGGUUGUAAACCUCUUUUAGUAGGGAAGAAGCGAAAGUGACGGUACCUGCAGAAAAAGCACCGGCUAACUACGUGCCAGCCGCCGCCGUAA
rnacentral:rRNA from 1 species